UACGUAGGGCGCAAGCGUUGUCCGGAAUUAUUGGGCGUAAAGAGCUCGUAGGCGGCUUGUCACGUCGGGGUGUGAAAGCCCGGGGCUUAACCCCGGGUCUGCAUUCGAUACGGGCUGGCUGGAGUGUGGUAGGGGAGAUCGGAAUUCCUGGUGUAGCGGUGAAAUGCGCAGAUAUCAGGAGGAACACCGAUGGCGAAGGCAGGUCUCUGGGCCACUACUGACGCUGAGAAGCGAAAGCAUGGGGAGCGAACAGG
rnacentral:rRNA from 1 species